rnacentral:rRNA from 1 species
GUACACACCGCCCGUCAAGCCAUGGGAGCCGGGGGUGCCUGAAGUUCGUGACCGCAAGGAGCGACCUAGGGCAAAACUGGUGACUGGGGCUAAGUCGUAACAAGGUAUC